rnacentral:rRNA from 1 species
GAUGAACGCUAGCUACAGGCUUAACACAUGCAAGUCGAGGGGAAACGAUAUUGGAAGCUUGCUUCUGAUAGGCGUCGACCGGCGCACGGGUGAGUAACGCGUAUCCAACCUGCCCAUCACUUGGGGAUAACCUUGUGAAAGUAAGACUAAUACCCAAUGACGUCUCUAGAAGACAUCUGAAAGAGAUUAAAGAUUUAUCGGUGAUGGAUGGGGAUGCGUCUGAUUAGCUUGUUGGCGGGGUAACGGCCCACCAAGGCGACGAUCAGUAGGGGUUCUGAGAGGAAGGUCCCCCACAUUGGAACUGAGACACGGUCCAAACUCCUACGGGAGGCAGCAGUGAGGAAUAUUGGUCAAUGGACGAGAGUCUGAACCAGCCAAGUAGCGUGCAGGAUGACGGCCCUAUGGGUUGUAAACUGCUUUUAUAAGGGAAUAAAAGUGGGAGUCGUGACUCUUUUUGCAUGUACCUUAUGAAUAAGGACCGGCUAAUUCCGUGCCAGCAGCC